rnacentral:tRNA from 1 species
UAGCUCAGUGGUAGAGCGGUUGCCUAGCAAGCACAAGGCCCUGGGUUCGGUCCCCAG